rnacentral:lncRNA from 1 species
GAAUUCCCUUUGCGUCUGUGCUUUGUGUUUUUUUUUCUUUCAUUUUUUCCAUUACAUCGAUAUGUUCAAUAUUUUUAAUAUUAUAGCGAUAUUUUGACAAAAUAUUGCUGAAGUGUGAGCGAAAUUAUCAACAUCGAUAUUUUCCGAUAUUAUUGACAUCGAUAUUUAUACAAUAUGUGUAUGGAUACGUUUCAAAAUAUU